UACGAGAGGCCCAAACGUUAUUCGGAAUCACUGGGCUUAAAGAGUUCGUAGGCGGCGCGGAAAGUGGGGUGUGAAAGCCCUCGGCUUAACCGAGGAAUUGCGCUCCAAACUGCCGCGCUCGAGGAAGAUAGAGGUGAGCAGAACUGAUGGUGGAGCGGUGAAAUGCGUUGAUAUCAUCAGGAAUACCGGAGGCGAAGGCGGCUCACUGGGUCUUUUCUGACGCUGAGGAACGAAAGCUAGGGGAGCAAACGGG
rnacentral:rRNA from 1 species